UCCUCGAUAGCUCAGUCGGUAGAGCGCACGGCUGUUAACCGUGUUGUCGUAGGUUCGAGCCCUACUCGGGGAG
rnacentral:tRNA from 1 species